GAUGAACGCUAGCGAUAGGCUUAACACAUGCAAGUCGAGGGGCAGCAUGGUCUUAGCUUGCUAAGACUGAUGGCGACCGGCGCACGGGUGCGUAACGCGUAUGCAACUUGCCUCACAGAGGGGGAUAACCCGUCGAAAGACGGACUAAUACCGCGUACACUCCAUCUUGGGCAUCCAAGGUAGAGGAAAUGAAAUUCGCUGUGAGAUAGGCAUGCGUCCCAUUAGCUAGUUGGUGAGGUAACGGCUCACCAAGGCGACGAUGGGUAGGGGAACUGAGAGGUUGAACCCCCACACUGGUACUGAGACACGGACCAGACUACUACGGGAGGCAGCAGUGAGGAAUAUUGGUCAAUGGGCGAGAGCCUGAACCAGCCAAGUCGCGUGAAGGAUGACUGUCUUAUGGAUUGUAAACUUCUUUUAUACGGGAAUAACAAGAGUCACGUGUGACUCCCUGCAUGUACCGUAUGAAUAAGCAUCGGCUAACUCCGU
rnacentral:rRNA from 1 species